rnacentral:rRNA from 1 species
GUAGGUAACGUACCCUCGGGGCGAGGACAGCCACGGGAAACUGUGGGUAAUACUCGAUAAUGUUCCCAAUCUUGAUUGGAGGGGAACCAAUGGGUGUGAUUCCACCUGAGGAGCGGCUUACGCAGUAUCAGCUUGUUGGUGAGGUAAUGGCUCACCAAGGCGAUGACGCUUAGGGGAUGUGAGAGCAUGAUCCCCACCACUGGCACUGAGACACUGGCCAGACACCUACGGGUGGCUGCAGUCGAGAAUCUUCGGCAAUGGACGCAAGUCUGACCGAGCGACGCCGCGUGCGGGAUGAAGGCCUUCGGGUUGUAAACCGCUGUCAGAGGGGAUGAAGUGUACGGGAGUUAUCUCCUGUAUUUGACAGAGCCUCAGAGGAAGCACGGGCUAAGUUCGUGCCAGCAGCCGCGGUAAUACGAACUGUGCGAACGUUAUUCGGAAUCACUGGGCUUAAAGGGUGCGUAGGCGGCUGCCUAAUUCAGGUGUGAAAUCUCUCGGCUCAACCGGGAAACUGCGCUUGAUACUGGGCGGCUU